rnacentral:rRNA from 1 species
UACGUAGGUGGCAAGCGUUGUCCGGAUUUACUGGGCGUAAAGGGAGCGUAGGGGGAUAUUUAAGUGGGAUGUGAAAUACUCGGGCUUAACCUGGGUGCUGCAUUCCAAACUGGAUAUCUAGAGUGCAGGAGAGGAAAGUAGAAUUCCUAGUGUAGCGGUGAAAUGCGUAGAGAUUAGGAAGAAUACCAGUGGCGAAGGCGACUUUCUGGACUGUAACUGACACUGAGGCUCGAAAGCGUGGGGAGCAAACAGG